rnacentral:rRNA from 1 species
GAUGAACGCUGGCGGCGUGCCUAAUACAUGCAAGUCGAGCGAACAGAUAAGGAGCUUGCUCCUUUGACGUUAGCGGCGGACGGGUGAGUAACACGUGGGUAACCUACCUAUAAGACUGGAAUAACUCCGGGAAACCGGGGCUAAUGCCGGAUAACAUUUAGAACCGCAUGGUUCUAAAGUGAAAGAUGGUUUUGCUAUCACUUAUAGAUGGACCCGCGCCGUAUUAGCUAGUUGGUAAGGUAACGGCUUACCAAGGCAACGAUACGUAGCCGACCUGAGAGGGUGAUCGGCCACACUGGAACUGAGACACGGUCCAGACUCCUACGGGAGGCAGCAGUAGGGAAUCUUCCGCAUUGGGCGAAAGCCUGACGGAGCAACGCCGCGUGAGUGAUGAAGGUCUUCGGAUCGUAAAACUCUGUUAUUAGGGAAGAACAAAUGUGUAAGUAACUGUGCACGUCUUGACGGUACCUAAUCAGAAAGCCACGGCUAACUACGUG